rnacentral:lncRNA from 10 species
AACUGCCGGUGUGACACCCCAGAGAAGCCCUUCCUGAUGCAGUCGACGGGGGUGAGAACGUCGCGGGAAAUAUUCCCUCACUAACCCCCACUUUGGGCUACACAGCGGCCUUGGAGAGGACCACACUCUACAGGAAAAACAUCAGGCUUGCAAAGAUGUUUACAAUAGCAGAGGCAUGGAGUUGGUAGAAGAGAAAGAUCUCCAAGCAAAGAAUGGGUUUUCCCUGAGAAGGUCGCAUCCCAUGCAGACAACCCAUUUCGCCUCACCAGGAAAGCUGAACUCAGACCCCUGUGAGUUGUGUUCAUAGCGCUUUACGUCCAUCUCCUUAAAACUGUGGUGGUGGCUUACGUCUGUCAUCCCCGCACUUUGGGAAGCUGAGGCGGGCAGAUGAUGAGAUCAAGAGUUUGAGACCAUCCUGGCCAACACGGUGAAACCCCAUCUCUACUAAAAAUACAAAAAUUAGCUGGGCGUGGUGGAGCGUGCCUGCAGUCCCAGCUACUUGGGAGGCUGAAGCAGGAGAAUCACUUGAACCCGGGAGGCAGAGCUUGCAGUGAGCCGAGAUCGUGCCAUUGCCCUCCAGCCUGGUGACAGAGCGAGACUCCGUCUCAGAAAAACAAAAACAAAAACAAACUGUGGCAUCUUCAAGAAGAUGGCAUUUUAUCCAAUUCCCCUUUAAUGAGAAUGUGAGCUUAAGUUAGGCUAACUUUUGUCUCUCUGUUGUCCCUAAUCGGACUAAGAAAAGCCACGUGAUCUUGAGCAGAACAAGGAACAUUUCAGCCCCCCGGCCUGUAACAGGGAAGCUCAAGAUGCCACAUGGCGAGGCUCUGCAGCCCAUCUGCUCAAACCUGCCCACACCGCACCUUGCUCCCGGGAGCCCUAAACCCCUCGCCGAGUCUCAGGCUGAGCAGGGGUCUCAGAUCUGGCUGCCCAUUAGAAACCUGGUAGGCUCUCACCCAAUGCAAAGGAUGCUGUGAUCCCCUCAGCAGGUCCUGAGAGAGUCUUUCUGCAUUGGUUUGCAAGGACUCAGCCACUGCACACCCACACUGGUCUCUGGAGGGGCAGCCACGUUCUAUCGUGGUAACGUCCGCCCCGUGGCAGGGACUGCUGACUGUCCCUACGCUCUCCUCCUUCCUCUUGGUGAUGGAAGCUACCACCCGCCGAGUUGCAGAUGCCCACAUUUCCCGGACCCUGUGCAGCUCGCUGUGGCACAGAGACUGCAUGUGGGACAAUGGGAAUACUACCAAAGGCAAGGAAGACAAUUUCCAGGUGGUCUUUUCAAAGUCCAGGCCACAUGUCCCAACUUCUUAUCUCCCUUCCCACAGAGAGGCUGAGGAGUGAGGUGAGCCAGCCUCCAUCCCGUGGGAGAGAACCACAUGACGGGCCAGCCCCAUCCCGUGGGAGAGAACCACAUGACGGGCCAGCCCCAUCCCGUGGGAGAGAACCACAUGACGGGCCAGCCCAAUCCUGUGGGAGAGAACCACAUGACGGUGGAGCCACACGUCCACCAGAGCCUAAGCGUUGGGGCCCCGAGUGACCACACGGAACCACGCUGCCCCAGGCACAGGAGCACUCAACUCUGCAGCCUCACCAGAGGGAGACGGCGCUGCCUGCCCGAGCCGCUUCACACUCAGACCUUUUCACUACAGCAGAUUCAUCUACUCACAACAAAGGGGUUGUGAGUUCUCCAAGAACAUGUUUUUAAAUAUCUUUCAGUAAAUCUAUUACAAGUUCUCAUUAGAUUGAAUUUAUUCUUAAGUUGUUUUAUCUCAGUUGCUAUUAUAAAUAAAUUAAUUUAUUC